rnacentral:ncRNA from 1 species
AUUUGAAGAGGAAGCGAUGAUUAGCCAUUUGUAUGUGGGCACUUGAAUGGCUGGGAGUGAGUAGUGCAACCGACCCUAUAUAGC